rnacentral:tRNA from 1 species
GGGGCUGUGGCCUAGUCAGGAAGGGCGACGGGCUCCAGCGGUAAUAUGAUGAACAACGGGUCUGCUGAAUCGAAAGAUCGGACGCGAUCUUUCGUUAUGAUGAUCCGUUGGAGCACUGAUGAUCGGAGAGACCCGUCGGUCGUGUGUUCGAAUCGCACCAGCCCCA